GGAUCUGAGGGCGAUCUGCCUGCGACAUACGUCACCCCAUUGAUCACCAGGGUUGAUUCGACUGAUCUGGCUGGUUAGGCGGGUGUCCCCUUCCUCCCUCACCACUCCAUGUGCGUCCCUCCCGAAGCUGCUCACUCAGUCGAAGAGGAUGACCAUCCCCAACAGAGGAGGACUGGUCUUUGGUUAAGGGUAUAUGAAUAGCUGUGCUCCCCUGCUAGAACUUCCAGACAAGCUCUCAAGAUCCAAAGUGUUGGGAUUACAGGUGUGAGAGCCACUGCACCCAGCUUGCAUUGUUAAAUUAUUCUAUACAUGUUGAAAAAUAUUU
ensembl:misc_RNA 7SK 7SK RNA